UGGGGAAUUUUUGGACAAUGGGCGAAAGCCUGAUCCAGCAAUGCCGCGUGUGUGAAGAAGGCCUUCGGGUUGUAAAGCACUUUUGUCCGGAAAGAAAUCCUUGGCUCUAAUACAGUCGGGGGAUGACGGUACCGGAAGAAUAAGCACCGGCUAACUACGUGCCAGCAGCCGCGGUAAUACGUAGGGUGCAAGCGUUAAUCGGAAUUACUGGGCGUAAAGCGUGCGCAGGCGGUUUGCUAAGACCGAUGUGAAAUCCCCGGGCUCAACCUGGGAACUGCAUUGGUGACUGGCAGGCUAGAGUAUGGCAGAGGGGGGUAGAAUUCCACGUGUAGCAGUGAAAUGCGUAGAGAUGUGGAGGAAUACCGAUGGCGAAGGCAGCCCCCUGGGCCAAUACUGACGCUCAUGCACGAAAGCGUGGGGAGCAAACAGGAUUAGAUACCCUGGUAGUCCACGCCCUAAACGAUGUCAACUAGUUGUUGGGGAUUCAUUUCCUUAGUAACGUAGCUAACGCGUGAAGUUGACCGCCUGGGGAGUACGGUCGCAAGAUUAAAACUCAAAGGAAUUG
rnacentral:rRNA from 1 species